UUAUUUUUAUUUAUUUAUUGGGUUUAAGUUUUUAUUAGAAUUUUUUAUUUAAUUUUUUAUUAUAAGUAAUAAUGAUAGAAUUAGUAGUUUUGAAUAUUUAGAUAUAGGAACUCGGCAAAUAUUAUUUCCGCCUGUUUAACAAAAACAUGUCCUUUAGAUUUUAUAAUUAUAGGUCUAGCCUGCCCAGUGAUGAACUUAAACGGCCGCAGUAUUUUGACUGUGCGAAGGUAGCAUAAUCAUUUGUCUUUUAAUU
rnacentral:rRNA from 1 species